CCUACGGGUGGCUGCAGUGGGGAAUAUUGGACAAUGGGCGAAAGCCUGAUCCAGCCAUGCCGCGUGUGUGAAGAAGGCCUUCGGGUUGUAAAGCACUUUCAGUGGGGAAGAAAGCCUUGGGGCUAAUACCCUCGAGGAAGGACAUCACCCACAGAAGAAGCACCGGCUAACUCCGUGCCAGCAGCCGCGGUAAUACGGAGGGUGCGAGCGUUAAUCGGAAUUACUGGGCGUAAAGCGCGCGUAGGCGGUCUGAUAAGCCGGUUGUGAAAGCCCCGGGCUCAACCUGGGAACGGCAUCCGGAACUGUCAGGCUAGAGUGCAGGAGAGGAAGGUAGAAUUCCCGGUGUAGCGGUGAAAUGCGUAGAGAUCGGGAGGAAUACCAGUGGCGAAGGCGGCCUUCUGGACUAACACUGACGCUGAGGUGCGAAAGCGUGGGGAGCAAACAGGAUUAGAUACCCGAGUAGUC
rnacentral:rRNA from 1 species